UUAUCGACUUCCUUUUGAAUAACUUGGAUAACAUCUUUAUGGACAUCUGAGAGAGGUUCUUUCUACUAGUGCUCCUCCUCCUGCUAAUGCUAGUGCAACUUUGAAAGUUGUUAAAGCAAAGAUUCGAUACCUCUUUUAUUAUUAAUUAAUAAUUGGCAUUCUCUGAUCGGCCUAAUCUCGUAAUACAUGGCUAUGUCCCUGACCUGAGACUAAUGCAAUCAGUUCCUUCCUCCGCCUUCUCUUUCGACGUUCGCCAAUCGGAGAGGACAGCCGAUUGAGUCUGAACCUUAAUUUAAAGAUGGAAGGAAGACCCGGAUGGAGUACUAGUUCUCCUCUUCCUGCUAAUGCUAGUGAAAUUUAGAAAGUUGUUAAAGUAAAGAUUCGAUACCUCUUUUAUUAUUAAUUAAUAUUUGGCAUUCUAUGAUCGGACUAAUCUCGUAAUACAUGGCUAUGUCCCUGACCUGAGACUAAUGCAAUC
rnacentral:lncRNA from 1 species